UGAGACCGUCAUAACUACAAGUUCACCGACAUCCCAUUGAAACGUGUGUUAAACUUAAUACACACAUUUCAAUGGGAUGUCGUUGGACUUGUACUUAUGACGGUUUCAUGAAACGCUGCCCAGAUCCCCGACACCGAACACCUGGGGAGGUUUCACGAAACCGUCAUUAAGUCUAACUUUUUAGACAUCGUAUUGAAACGUGUGAUAGAGAUCUAACACGUGUUUCUACCAAAUCUCCACGAGCUUAGACUUAUGGCAGUUUCGAGAAACUAGCACUCGCUCUGAAUCUGGCGCAUCCACGGCCACGCUGGAAGCUCGGAUCUGACCGCCUGCGAUGCAUGCCCCGGACGCGACGGCAGCCCGCUCUCGAGCUAACUCUCCAUCGCAUCGUGCAGCUGUCUUUCUUCUCUUUCACGAACACGGUUGCCCGACUGAAACAACUAGACCACAUUAGUAUCCUGACAUCAAGAUAGGUCUCUAUUAUGUGCCCAUCCGUCUGAUUAAGUCUUCUUUGGAGCAAACUGUCAGACAUUUGCGGUAGUAUACAGCUGAAAUGGAAUUUCCGUUCAACCAAACAGUAUACUUCAAGGCUAUUUCUCAGCGACGAGGGUUAGCUCCAGGUAGCAGUAGCAGGCUGGAAGUAACACACAUGUGCAGUGUUUCAGUCGAAAACGAAUACCACCCAUUCAAAAUCGGUUAUAGGAUCUUGUCCAUAUGUCCAUAUUUUUGUAUGCAUGUGAAACAUGGACCAUGACAGCAGACAUUAAAAGAAGGAUACAGGCACUGGAGAUGAAAUGUUUCCGCAAACUCCUCAGUAUCUGGUAUAGAGAUCACAUAACCAACGAGGUAGUGAAAAUCAGAAUUGGAAACACCAUAGGGCCGUAUGAAGACCUCCUGACUUCAGUGAAAAGAUGCAAAGUAAAGUGGUAUGGGUAUGUCACAUGAUCAUUUGGACUGGCCAAGACUAUUCUACAUGGAACAGUACAAGGAGGGAGACGAAAAGGCAGACAGAGGAAACGAUGGGAAGACAACAUUAACGAGUGACCUUGACUGAAACAUCAUACUUCGUAAAGCCAAGAACCACGAGGAGUGGAGGAAGCUGGUAGUAUAAAUCUUCAGUGGUGCCCCAAGGGUCAGCCAGACUGUGGGAUAGGUGAAGGUGAAGGUGAAGGAAGCUAAGAAUCAGAUAGUUAGACAUUAUAUUGGAUCAUUUAUCCUUUCCUUCAAAAGGAAUGUUGCUUUAUACUGUAGCACAUAAACAAUGCUUUUUUAUUGGCAAUAUUUCAGUUCAGUACGCUUGUUAUUAAUUUCAUCAAACAUUAAAAUGUAAAAGGGAGAAACACUGUCAUUUGAAAAUCAAAAUGUAAGUCAUAAAGAUUUCACUGUCUAACUAUCUGAAUCUUGUCAGGAUCCAUGUACGAGUUAGUGCAAUUCUUUUCUCUUCACUACAACCGCAUUGAUUUACUUUAAUAGCAUGUUACUAGGUACAUCAAUUGAUGAGAAAAAGCAGCAAAACGCUUUAAAUUUGUUGUAGUCUUAAAAUUAAAGUUGGAAGUUUCCUAAAAAGGGAAUUUUAGAACACUCCUUCAACUGACAUGCACGGAUGUUAUACUUAUGAAUUUCCAUACAUUAAUGUCUUUGUAAUGCAUGUUACCAAACAAAAAAAAGUAUCAUCAACCAUUCUUGUCAUUUCCUGUGCAAUUAUUUUCACAUCCUGGCUUAACAGUACAUAAACAGUGCUCUUUUAUUUUCAAUAUUUCAGAAAAAUGCAUUUGCAUUAUGAUACAUGCAGGUAUAGUUGGUCAAGUAAGAAUAUAUUUACAGCAUGCUCACUAUGAAUUGAUUAAAUCGCCAUUGAAUCUAAAAGGUAUGUUAUACCUCAUUGUAUAUUCAGAAGGAAAAAGUGUGAGGAUAGCUUUAAAAAAAAAAA
rnacentral:lncRNA from 1 species